GGGGGUAGUUUUUAGUACGUAUGCGUCAGGGAUGGCGAAUCCUGCAUGCUAUCAAGAUCCAGCAGUAUCUUUUGAAGAUUUUCUACCUCC
rfam:Glossina fuscipes fuscipes unplaced genomic scaffold Scaffold800, whole genome shotgun sequence.